rnacentral:misc_RNA from 1 species
CCCUCCCCCACAACUCUCCUUCACCAACUAAGGUUCCAAAAUGGUAGCCAAAUUCUGCACCUCUAAGUCAUGGUCAAAAGAAAUGGCAAAGUCCCUUGUAAGACAUACGCAAGCACCCGAUAAGGCCAGCGGAAACAACACUCAAAACUAUAUGUGCCAAAUGACCAAGAUACUUGGCCGAUUCAUGCGGAUGCCGUCAUCACAGGCUACACGGCUAAGUCAUGGUCAAGACAAAUGGUAAAGUCCCUUAUAUGACAUAUGCAAUCACUCCAUAAGGCCAGUGGCGAGCACACUGAAAACUAUAUGUGCCAAGUGACCAAGAUACUUGACCGAUUCAUGCGGAUGCCUUCGUCCCAGGCUACAGGGGUAAGUCAUGGUCAAGACAAAUGGUAAAGUCCCUUAUAUGACAUACGCAAUCACUCGAUAAGGCCAGUCGCCAGCACACUCAAAACUAUUUGUGCAAGUGACCAAGACACUUGGCUGAUUCAUACAUGUGAUGUCAUCACAAAGAAAGUGUUAAAGGAGACACGGGCAAGAGUCGUGGACGGAACUGGACGCGCACCAUGGAAAACUAGGCAAAACCACGUACAGAGACUCGUACACGGACUCGUGAACGGGCUUUACCGGGACACAGGAAAAAAAGUGGCCGACGCCCGUCGUGGACGGAAGUGGAUGCACGCCAUGGAAAACAGGGCAAAACCACGUACGAGGCACACACACGUACACGGACCCGUGAACGGGCGGUACGUGGACACGGGAAAAAAGUGGCCGACGCCCGUCGUGGACGGAACCGGACGUGCGUCAUGGAAAACUGGGCAAAACCACGUAUGAGGCACACACACGUACACGGACCCGUGAACAGGCUGUACGUGGACACGGGAAAAAGGGGCCGACACCCGUCGUGGACGGAACGUGACGUGCGCACAUGGAAAACUGGGCAAAACCACGUACGAGGCACACACACGUACACGGACCCGUGAACGGGCUGUACGUGGACACGGGGAAAAAGGGGCCGACACCCGUCGUGGACCGAGCGUGACGUGCGGCAUGGAAAACUGGGCAAAACAACGUACGAGGCACACACACGUACACGGACCGUUACACGGACCCGUGAACGGGCUGUACGUGGACACGAGGAAAAAAUGGCCGACGCCCGUCGUGGACGGAACCGGACGCGCGCCAUGGAAAACUGGGCAAAAACACGUACGAGGCACACACACGUACACGGACCCGUGUACGGGCGUUACGUGGACACGGGGAAAAAGUGGCCGACGCCCGUCGUGGACGGAACCGGACGCGCGUCAUGGAAAACUGGGCAAAACCACGUACGACGCACACAGACGUACACGGACCGUUACACGGACCCGUGAACGGGCUGUACGUGGACACGGGAAAAAAGUGGCCGACGCCCGUCGUGGACGGAACCGGACGCGCGCCACGGAAAACUGGGCAAAACCACGUACGAGGCACACACACGUACACGGACCCUUACACGGACCCGUGAACGGGCUGUACGUGGACACGGGGGAAAAGGGGCCGACACCCGUCGUGGACGGAACGUGACGUGCGCACAUGGAAAACUGGGCAAAACCACGUACGAGGCACACACAUACACGGACCGUUACACGGACCCGUGAACAGGCUGUACGUGGACACGGGAAAAAAGUGGCCGACGCCCGUCGUGGACGGAACCGGACGCGCGCCAUGGAAAACUGGGCAAAACCACGUACGAGGCACACACACGUACACGGACCCGUGAACGUGCGGUACGUGGACACGGGAAAAAAGUUGCCGACGCCCGUCGUGGACGGAACCGGACGCGCGCCAUGGAAAACUGGGGAAAACCACGUACGAGGCACACACACGUACACGGACCCGUGAACGGGCGGUACGUGGACACGGGAAAAAAGUGGCCGACGCCCGUCGUGGACGGAACCGGACGCACGCCAUGGAAAACCGGGCAAAAACACGUACGAGGCACACACACGUACACGGACCCGUGAACGGGCUGUACGUGCACGGACCGUUACACGUACACGGACCCGUGAACGGGCGGUACGUGGACACGCACGUACACGGACACGUGAACGGGUACGAGAGGUCCGGGAGAAAAAAAGGCCCAUACGCCAUGGAAACCGGGUCAAAACUAGCUAAUGAUGGUCAAGAAACGGUGCCAUGGCAGCGAAAACAUGUCUCAUGGCAGAAAAACGCUGCCACGGCAGCGUUUCAAAACAGUGUACCCCUCCUUCACAAACUGAAGGGCAGGGGUCCCAAUGGGGCCUAAAACCCUCGGGUAUAGUAGGGAGGAGGGGUCCUUCCUGGUGGGCGUACGGAACACGGUUGGUUUUUCUUAGGAAAAACACCCGUUUUCUCGUACGCCCAUCCUUUCCCAACGUUGCCUCGGAUGUCCCGUCGUUAUGCCAUCACGAAGGUGCUGGCCCGGUCCCGUGUACGUCUCGUGAGAAAUCCUGACCCUACGGCCGAACGUGGCUCGGGAAACAGGAAAGUACCCCGUUACGUACACGAUCCGAUCGACGGUAAACAGUCGCAACGGUGUGCCUCGAAUGUCGCCUCCGGAAAACCGUUGCCCCCCGGGGGCAACGUCAUCGCUGUCCCGGUCCCCUGUACGUCUCAAGUGAAAUUCUGACCCAACAGCCGAAUGCGGCUCGGGAAACAGGAAAGUAGCCCGUUUCGUGCACGAUAAGACCGUCGGACAACGUUGCACCGACGUCCCGAUUAAGUUGCCUUCGGAAAAUCGUUGCAUCCGUAACUUUAUUGCUGCGGGUGUGACACACGCGUGAUUUGGCCUUGCAGGACGCCUUCGUGCAAGUGAUCCUCCCGUGCUCUGCACGGGCGGAGGCUUGGUUGGUUUGACCGCUUGUUGGCUACUAAGCGCAUGAGUAGCUUUGGACCCGUGUCUGCCGGUAGAUCCCCCGUUGUACUGCGGCCGACUACCGGCGCCGUGUCCCGUCCCUUGUGUGGCUUUUAAUCGCUGGAUUAAGAGUGCUUGCGUGCUAGUACCCGACCUACGGGAAGUGGCGCUUCGGAUAAUUGUUGCCUCGCGGCGGACGCCCUUUGGGUGUGCCGCUGCGGCCAAAUAGCGCUUGCGGCGUUGCCUCGUGGCGCUGGCACGUUACGUGCCCGCUGCUAUCAAGGCAACCUCGCUCCCGCUUUUGGUAUCGGAUGCUGCUGACAAUAAAGGGUCGUGGCCCUUUCGGUUGCCUCGACCCGACCCAAAGCUCUCUGAAUUGAGAACAACCGGAACAGGAGUUGCCUCUACCUCUCCACAGUUACGUGGUAGGAUAUGCGACUCUCUGCGCCGAUCCUCAAGGAGGAUGAGCUAUGCCGCUCAAGAGCGACAACCGGCCCGGCUGUUGCCUCUGAGUUUCCACGAAAGUGGAAGCGCAGGACGAUGGUCGUGCUGGGCGUCACCA